rnacentral:rRNA from 1 species
UGCGUAGGUGGCAAGCGUUGUCCGGAAUUAUUGGGCGUAAAGCGCGCGCAGGCGGUCCUUUAAGUCUGAUGUGAAAGCCCACGGCUCAACCGUGGAGGGUCAUUGGAAACUGGGGGACUUGAGUGCAGAAGAGGAAAGCGGAAUUCCACGUGUAGCGGUGAAAUGCGUAGAGAUGUGGAGGAACACCAGUGGCGAAGGCGGCUUUCUGGUCUGUAACUGACGCUGAGGCGCGAAAGCGUGGGGAGCAAACAGG